UAGUUAUGAAGAUUCUUGGACUUACAUGUUCUUCCAGUGGUUGCGAAUGCAAUUGGAGGACGUUCGAGGCGAUUCAUACCAAGAAAAGGAAUCGCCUUGAGCAAAAAAAGCUCAACGACUUGGUUUUCGUUCAAUACAAUCAAAAAUUGCGAGAACGAUUUCAAAGUAGGAAAGAAAUGCCCGGUUUCUUUGACCCUAUCUGCUUAGAUGAGUUGGAUGCAGAUAACGAGUGACUCGUAGAGACGGAGGACCCGGUAUUUGCUGGAGAGGAGCUGACAUGGGCACAAGUUGAAGAUGCCGCAUAUGGAUCGACACCUGGUGAAGGUAGUACCACUCGAAGGCGCAGGACGGGGGGGAGCCGGGGGGUGAGUAGUAGCCGUCAACCCGUUGAUGAGAUUGAGGA